rnacentral:pre_miRNA from 1 species
GGGGGGAGCACAGGAUCAUGGGCUGUGUCCCCGGCACCCUGGGAUCUGGCCCCUGUGCUGCAGGAAUCGCACUCCCAGGGCUGCGUCUCCCC